rnacentral:rRNA from 1 species
GACGAAGGGGGCUAGCGUUGUUCGGAAUUACUGGGCGUAAAGCGUGCGUAGGUGGUUUGUUAAGUCUGUUGUGAAAGCCCCGGGCUCAACCUGGGAAUGGCAAUGGAUACUGGCAAGCUAGAGUGCGGUAGAGGGUAGUGGAAUUCCCGGUGUAGCGGUGAAAUGCGUAGAGAUCGGGAGGAACACCAGUGGCGAAGGCGGCUACCUGGACCAGCACUGACACUGAGGCACGAAAGCGUGGGGGAGCAAACAGG